rnacentral:rRNA from 1 species
ACGUAGGUGGCAAGCGUUAUCCGGAUUUAUUGGGCGUAAAGCGAGCGCAGGCGGUUUUCUAAGUCUGAUGUGAAAGCCUUCGGCUUAACCGAAGAAGUGCACCGGAAACUGGAUGACUUGAGUGCAGAAGAGGGUAGUGGAACUCCAUGUGUAGCGGUGGAAUGCGUAGAUAUAUGGAAGAACACCAGUGGCGAAGGCGGCUGCCUGGUCUGCAACUGACGCUGAGGAUCGAAAGCAUGGGUAGCGAACAGGAUUAGAUACCCUGGUAGUCCAUGCCGUAAACGAUGAGUGCUAGGUGUUGGAGGGUUUCCGCCCUUCAGUGCCGGAGCUAACGCAUUAAGCACUCCGCCUGGGGAGUACGACCGCAAGGUUG